GGAGGCUGUUUGUGUCCUCGGCCCGACAACGAUGAGCAGAGGUGAUGCGCUGGGACCCGGUGCUGGAACCGACAUGGGGAUUUGCUUCAACCAGCACCGGGAUUUGCUUCAAUGGCGAGGAUGGUGGUGGACGGCGACAACGGUGGCCGUCGUGGAGGGGACAAUGUCGGGCGACCAUGGCCGCGGGUGCCGUGAUUUUUGCUGCACAGAUUUUUUGCUGGAACCAGCAUUUUGACUUGUUGCAAUCGGCAAGGAUGGUGCUGGGGCGGCUACGACGACAACGCCGUGAUUUUUUUUUUGCUGCAUUGAUCUUUUUUCUUCUUCUGAGGAACCAUUUUUCAUUUUUGUUGGAACUAUAUCAAUUUUUUGUUGGAACCAUGUGUGUUUUUUGCUCGAACCAUAUCAAUGUAUUUCGCUGGAAUCAUAGUAUUUUUGCUGCAACGACAUUAUUGUUUGCUGGAACCAUAUUAA